CAGUUUCCUAUCGACAUUUCAAGCAAGCUUUAAUUUGUGAUAUACGCUUUCAGAAUCCAAAACUUCAAUUAAGGAUGCGCUACUGUACAUGACAUGUUGAGAUACCUGUGUGGUUGUUUUUUAUUCAAGGAUUUAAGUACCGUGGCACGGAGUCGUGUCAGAAAUUUGCCGGCACGGUAUAGCAUGGUGCGUGCUGGGCCGUCUCGAUGCGUGCCGAUCACAAAAAAUAUAAGUGACAGCAAAAUUGGCUACAAAGUAAUAGGAAAAGUAAUUAGUUACCUGAAGAAGGUUGAGGAUGGUCUCGAGAGUCGCGGUUUUAUCGGGACCGACUUCGUAGGACCGGAUGACGACGGUCUGCCGAUAUCCGACUCCACCUUCGACGAUGAGUCCUUGUCG